GGUCCGACGCUGCGAACUGGAAGACGAAGUUCUCCCCGGAAAACGUCCGCAGGGCGCUCUGAGGCCGGUGGAAAGAUGGAGGCUCGUUGACUAAAGACAGAGGAGAGGAACCACAAGCUUUGCAGGGAUUGGAACCAACCAACGACAACAACAUAAGCGGUUAAGCGACAGGUCAGGGCAUGCUGGGAAAUGUAGACCUCCGUUCCUUUGAUCUGCUAAUGAGGACAAACAGGACCACAGUGUGACGGCUGACACAGGAACAGCGUACUGAAACGACCAGGUGAAUUUGGAUGUGUCGGGGUCACAGAGGAGGCAGGGGCUGCUGGGGCUGGAGACCCCCGCUGCGAAACACAUCCCGU